UCGCCACUGGAUCCUCCUGAUUGUCCUGCCAGUCUGUCCUGAACUGCUGUCUACCUGCUCCAUAAUUGUUACCCAGGUAACCAACCACUACCUGUGAUGAGACAUUUAUCUGCAUGUCAACCUUUCAGCUCCUCUUCUGUGACGAACUGCUGAAGCAAAACGGUGGAAAGGCACCCAUAUGUCCUUGUUAUCCUAAAAGUGCUCUUCAUCAGCGAUUCUCCAGGCUUUCUGUAUAUGUCAGAAUUUUUCUUUGGACCUCGACAGCUUUUUCACUCAUCAGUUCAAUACCUGAAGAAAGCUAAGGUCACAGUGUCAUAUAGAAGAUUCCAGAGGAUUCUCUCUCAGUCUUUGUCUCAGGAUCCACCAAAGCUGGGUGUGGAAUUACUCACCUGAAGCCUCCCUCGCCCCUCACCGUUGGUCUCCUUCCAGUCAGUGUGUUUAGAGAACCUUGACUCAGUUCAAGUACUUCUCUGUAAAAACCACAACAUUCGGGACACUUCCUGGAUUCUUCCCAAGCCAAGAAACUCACCUGGAAUACCUAUCGUCAUGAAGGGAUUCUGAACCAUGGAGGAUAUUCCUUCUCUACUACUACUCACUCCUAAGUCCCACCAGAUUAAGUCCAUUCUUCAGGAUGAACGUGAUCAUGUGUGGAAACUUAGGAUCUAUUUUCUAUCAUCAGCCAUGAGCUUUUCUUUGCUCUCAUUAACUUCAGUCAUUGGCCAGCUAUUGGCCACCAGUAGCUCUAAAGCAUCUGCUUCACAGCUUCCAAUCAGCAUGACACUAAAGUGUUAUUUCCCAGCUUUUAAUCAUAACAGCAUUUCAUCUGCUCUGAUUCAUUAGCUGAAAUACUUGGGCCAAUUUAGAAAGUUUCUUUAAGCCAGGGUUUGUACACGUUUCCCACAGUAAACUUCAAAAACUUUUCAAGCAUUUCCAAGGAAAAUAUUCAAACUUUUUCAUGACCAAACUUUGGAGCAGUCUGUAUCUCUGUGUGCCUUUUCUUCAUUGGACUUUAUAACCACAGCACACACAGCAUUUUCUAUAUGAAGGCAGAGUAUGAACAAUCUAAAAUACUGUUUAACUGAGUAAAGUUAUGGUAUUAAUAUGAAAUGGACAUGUCGGCAGGAGGAGCCCAAAAGACAUCUGUGGAACAGCACGCAUGACACAACUUUGCCACCACUUCUUUUUGUGUAAUUAAACCAUUAGCUAACCACCUUUACAAGCGUUUUCAAUAAAAUGAUUUGUUGUACAUUUAAAGUACAGUAGAUGACAAAAAACCUCA